rnacentral:rRNA from 1 species
UACGAAGGGUGCAAACGUUGCUCGGAAUUAUUGGGCGUAAAGCGCACGUAGGCGGCUUUGCAAGUCCCAUGUGAAAGCCCACGGCUCAACCGUGGAAGUGCAUGGGAAACUGCAGAGCUUGAGUACUUAAGAGGAUCGCGGAAUUCCCGGUGUAGAGGUGAAAUUCGUAGAUAUCGGGAGGAACACCAGUGGCGAAGGCGGCGAUCUGGGGAAGAUACUGACGCUGAGGUGCGAAAGCGUGGGGAGCAAACAGG